AUAGCGGUAUCUUUCUCUCUUUGCUGAUAAGAUCAGCUAUUUUUGUUCUCCUGACCAUCUUCAUCGUCGUCCUUUUCUUUGCAUGGAGAAAAUGCGGACUUAAAAGAAGAGAUAAAAAAAAGUCUGAUCUGAGACAUCAAAUGGAGAAUUACACCAAUCUAGAAAUGGUAACAAAUGCAGGUGUACAAAACUUAACCGGAGCAUCUACUGUCUAUGAAACCAUACCAUCUUCCAAUGAAUAACAGCUUAUUUAUUCAUUUGUUUUAAAG